rnacentral:rRNA from 1 species
UUAAAGGAAUUGACGGAAGGGCACCACCAGAUGUGGCACGUGCGGCUUAAUUUGACUCAACACGGGGAAACUCACCAGGUCCAGACACAUUAAGGAUUGACAGAUUGAGAGCUCUUUCUUGAUUAUGUGGGUGGUGGUGCAUGGCCGUUCUUAGUUGGUGGAGUGAUUUGUCUGCUUAAUUGCGAUAACGAACGAGACCUUAACCUGCUAAAUAGCCAGGCUAGCUUUUGCUGGUCGCCGGCUUCUUAGAGGGACUAUCGGCUCAAGCCGAUGGAAGUUUGAGGCAAUAACAGGUCUGUGAUGCCCUUAGAUGUUCUGGGCCGCACGCGCGCUACACUGACAGAGCCAACGAGUAUAAACCUUAACCGAGAGGUUUGGGUAAUCUUGUUAAACUCUGUCGUGCUGGGGAUAGGGCAUUGCAAUUAUUGCCCUUCAACGAGGAAUAUCUAGUAAGCGCAAGUCAUCAGCUUGCGUUGAUUACGUCCCUGCCCUUUGUACACACCGCCCGUCGCUACUACCGAUUGAAUGGCUCAGUGAGGCCUUCGGACUGGCUCCAGUGGAUCGGCAACGUUCUUCAGGAGCCGGAAAGUUGGUCAAACUUGGUCAUUUAGAGGAAGUAAAAGUCGUAACAAGGUUUGAAGUAAGGACCCUUCCAUGGGUGACGCUCACGAGAAGCCUUUGUGGCCCCGCAAGGGGUACUCGCCGCGACUGUAAACAAUGGAAUGCGAGUAUUAAAUCGCAAGUCAGCCUGCAUUUGCAGCUGGCCACACUUUCGAAUUGCGGGGACACCCUAAAGCCCACCUCUACCAACCAACCUGAGAAAUCCGGUUGGGGCCUGUGUUAACAGCACAGGAGAUGGUCAUAACGAGGUGGGAUAGGUCAGCCUUCUGGGCUGGCACAAUGGGCAAUCCGCAGCCAAGUCCUAAGGUCCUGUUCGGGCUACGGAAAAGGUUCACAGACUAAGUGGAAGUGGGCUGGAGCUUUGAUCCAGCUUAAGAUAUAGUCGGGCUCUGUGCGAGAGUGCAGAGGAGUCACAACCGUUCCGUAGGUGAACCUGCGGAAGGAUCAUUA